AGUGUUGGUCGUUUAUGUUCACGCCGUCGAGGAGAGCAAGUUCUGCACAUGUACAAUAUGAAGAUUAAGUUGAUGAUGAGGAUACUAUUACUCUGCUUCCUCAGCUACUUCUGGUUUCAGCUGUCCUUUGCUCAAAAUGCUACCACUGAUCCAUCUGAAGUGAGGGCGUUGAACUCAAUAUUUGAACAAUGGGACA